rnacentral:rRNA from 1 species
CCCCUAGUAACUGCGAGUGAAGCGGGAAAAGCUCAAAUUUAAAAUCUGGUAGUCUUUGGCUGCCCGAGUUGUAAUCUAGAGAAGCGUUAUCCGCGCUGGACCGUGUAUAAGUCUCCUGGAAUGGAGCGUCAUAGAGGGUGAGAAUCCCGUCUUUAACACGGACUACCAGGGCUUUGUGAUGCGCUCUCAAAGAGUCGAGUUGUUUGGGAAUGCAGCUCUAAAUGGGUGGUAAAUUCCAUCUAAAGCUAAAUAUUGGCGAGAGACCGAUAGCGAACAAGUACCGUGAGGGAAAGAUGAAAAGAACUUUGGAAAGAGAGUUAAACAGUACGUGAAAUUGUUGAAAGGGAAACGCUUGAAGUCAGUCGCGUUGGUCAGGGAUCAACCUUGCUUUUGCUUGGUGUACUUCCUGGCUAACGGGUCAGCAUCAAUUUUGACCAGUGGAAAAAGAUUAGGGGAAUGUGGCAUCUUCGGAUGUGUUAUAGCCUCUGGUCAUAUACAUUGGUUGGGAUUGAGGAACUCAGCACGCCGCAAGGCCGGGUUUUUACCACGUUCGUGCUUAGGAUGCUGGCAUAAU